AAUUAAUAAUUAUUUAUUAAUUUAUUUAUUUUUGUUAAUAUAUUUUAUUAAAAAUAAUUAUAUAAUUAAUGGUUUUAGUAAUUUUUAAUGAAAAAAUAAAUUUAAUAAUAGGUUAUUAUGUAUUGUGAAAGAAAAUUGAAAUAAUAUGAAAAAUUUUUAAAUUAUAAGAAGUUUUUAUUUUUCGUACCUUGUGUAUCAGGGUUUAUCAAAUAAUUAAUAAUUAUUUAUUAAUCUCGAUUUUAUAAGAGUUAAUAAUUUAUAGAAGUUAAUGUAUCAGAAUUAUUUUAAAUAAAUUAUUGGAAAUGAAAUGUUAUUCGUUUAUAAAGGUAUUUAGUUUUUUUAGAAAUAAAUUUAAUUUACAAAUUUUUAAUUUUUUUUUUUAUUUUAUUAAUAAAAAAAAUUAUUAAUUUGAAUAUUUUAAGGGAUAAGCUUUAAAGUUAAUUUUUAUAAAUCAAUAAAUUUUUAUUUAAAAUAUAUGCUUAGAAUUAGCAAUUAUUUAUAAAUUUGUUAUAAGUUAUUAUAUUAUUUUUAUUAUUUAUUUUGGUUUUAAGUUUUUAUAAAAAUAUUUUUUAUAAUUUUUUUUAAAAAGUGAUAAUGUUAAAAUUAGUAUAUUUAUUAUGUAUAAAUUAAGUUAUUAUGAUAAGUUUAUAUAAAGAACUCGGCAAAUAUUAUACUCGCCUGUUUAACAAAAACAUGUCUUUUUGAGUUAUUUUUAAAGUCUGACCUGCCCAAUGAAUAUAUUUUAAUGGCCGCAGUAUUUUAACUGUGCAAAGGUAGCAUAAUCAUUAGUCUUUUAAUUGAAGGCUGGAAUGAAUGGUUGGACGAAGUAUAAUCUGUUUCAUAUGAUUUUAUUUUAGAAUUUUAUAUUUUAGUUAAAAAGCUACAAUGUAAUUAAAAGACGAGAAGACCCUAUAAAUCUUUAUAUUUAAUAUUAUUUUAAUUUUUUGGAAUUGUUUUAUUUUUAUAUUAUUAAAUAUUUUGUUGGGGUGAUGUUAAAAUAAAAUGAACUUUUAAUUUUUUUUUUCAUUGAUUUAUGUUUAAUUGAUCCAUUUAUGAUGAUUAUAAGAUUAAGUUACUUUAGGGAUAACAGCGUAAUUUUUUUGGGGAGUUCAUAUCUAUAAAAAAGUUUGCGACCUCGAUGUUGGAUUAAGAGAUAUAUUUAGGUGUAGCUGCUUAAAAGUUAAGUCUGUUCGACUUUUAAAUUCUUACAUGAUCUGAGUUCAGACCGGCGUAAGCCAGGUUGGUUUCUAUCUUUAAUAAAUUAUAAUAUUUUAGUACGAAAGGACCAAAUAUUUGAAUAAUUAUAUUUUAAUAUAAGAAUAUUAUUAAUAU
rnacentral:rRNA from 1 species